AGAGUUUGAUCCUGGCUCAGGACGAACGCUGGCGGCGUGCCUAACACAUGCAAGUCGAACGAAGCUUGACGAAUGAUUUCUUCGGAAUGAAAUCUGAUAUGACUGAGUGGCGGACGGGUGAGUAACGCGUGAGCAACCUGCCCUUCGGAACGGGAUAGUGUCUGGAAACGGACAGUAAUACCGUAUAACGUAUUUUUACCGCAUGAUAGAAAUACCAAAACUGAGGUGCCGAAGGAUGGGCUCGCGUCUGAUUAGAUAGUUGGUGGGGUAACGGCCUACCAAGUCGACGAUCAGUAGCCGGACUGAGAGGUUGAACGGCCACAUUGGGACUGAGACACGGCCCAGACUCCUACGGGAGGCAGCAGUGGGGAAUAUUGCACAAUGGGGGAAACCCUGAUGCAGCAACGCCGCGUGAAGGAAGACGGUUUUCGGAUUGUAAACUUCUGUUCUUAGUGAAGAAUAAUGACGGUAGCUAAGGAGCAAGCCACGGCUAACUACGUGCCAGCAGCCGCGGUAAUACGUAGGUGGCAAGCGUUGUCCGGAAUUACUGGGUGUAAAGGGAGCGUAGGCGGGAUGCCAAGUCAGCUGUGAAAACUAUGGGCUUAACCUGUAGACUGCAGUUGAAACUGGUAUUCUUGAGUGAAGUAGAGGUUGGCGGAAUUCCGAGUGUAGCGGUGAAAUGCGUAGAUAUUCGGAGGAACACCGGUGGCGAAGGCGGCCAACUGGGCUUUAACUGACGCUGAGGCUCGAAAGUGUGGGGAGCAAACAGGAUUAGAUACCCUGGUAGUCCACACUGUAAACGAUGAAUGCUAGGUGUAGGGGGUAUCGACCCCUUCUGUGCC
rnacentral:rRNA from 1 species